UUACUGAGUAAGGGUGUUCUACGCCCGAUCUCCAACCCUAUGUUAAAACACUUUGUUGCUUUGGCAGGCCCGUCUUUCGGGACCGCCGGGGGCAUUCCAGCCUCUGGUCAGUGCUUGCCAGUAGCCAAUUCAAAUUCUUUAUUAAAAAUGAAGUCUGAAUCUUUAAUUAAAAUUUAAUUAAAACUUUCAACAACGGAUCUCUUGGUUCUGGCAUCGAUGAAGAACGCAGCGAAAUGCGAUAAGUAAUGUGAAUUGCAGAAUUCAGUGAAUCAUCGAAUCUUUGAACGCACAUUGCGCCCUUUGGUAUUCCGAAGGGCAUGCCUGUUCGAGCGUCAUUAUCAACCCUCAAGCCCGGCUUGUUAUUGGGUCCUUAUCGUUAAAGAUAGGCCCGAAAGAUAAUGGCGGCGUCAACAAUGACCCCAGAUGCAGCGAGCUUAUAGCAUACAUCGAAAGGUUUUGUUGUCCCGGCCUUUUUUUGCUUCGGCAAAGAUUUUUCAAAGGUUGACCUCGGAUCAGGUAGGAAUACCCGCUGAACUUAAGCAUAUCAAUAAGCGGAGGAAAAGAAACCAACAGGGAUUGCCUCAGUAACGGCGAGUGAAGCGGCAAUAGCUCAAAUUUGAAAUCUGGCUCUUUCAGAGUCCGAGUUGUAAUUUGUAGAGGAUGUUUCGGACAAGGCUUCGGUUUAAAUUCCUUGGAACAGGAUGUCAUAGAGGGUGAGAGUCCCGUCUUGAACCGUCUGCUGCGUCUAUGUGAAACUCCUUCGACGAGUCGAGUUGUUUGGGAAUGCAGCUCAAAAUGGGAGGUAAAUUUCUUCUAAAGCUAAAUAUUGGCCAGAGACCGAUAGCGCACAAGUAGAGUGAUCGAAAGAUGAAAAGCACUUUGAAAAGAGAGUUAAACAGUAUGUGAAAUUGUUGAAAGGGAAGCGGUUGCAACCAGACUUGUGUGUAACAGUUCAACCUUGGUUUUCCAAGGCCUAUUCUGUUAUACCAGGCCAGCAUCGGUUCGGGUGGUUAGUUAAAGGCAUCGGGA
rnacentral:rRNA from 1 species